UGGCGGCGUGCUACACAUGCAAGUCGAGCGGGGCAUUUUCCUUCGGGAGGGUGUUCAGCGGCGGACGGGUGAGUAACGCGUGGAUAAUCUGUCUUAGACACGGGGAUAACCAAGGGAAACUUUGGCUAAUACCCGAUAAGCCGACGGUACCGCAUGGUACUGACGGAAAAGGAGCAAUCCGGUUUUUGAGGAGUCCGCGUCUGAUUAGUUAGUUGGUGGGGUAACGGCCUACCAAGACUGCGAUCAGUAGCCGACCUGAGAGGGUGAUCGGCCACAUUGGGACUGAGACACGGCCCAAACUCCUACGGGAGGCAGCAGUGGGGGAUAUUGCACAAUGGGCGGAAGCCUGAUGCAGCAACGCCGCGUGAGGGAAGAAGGUUUUCGGAUCGUAAACCUCUAUCGACAGGGACGAAAUAUGACGGUACCUGAGUAAGAAGCCCCGGCUAACUACGUGCCAGCAGCCGCGGUAAAACGUAGGGGGCAAGCGUUAUCCGGAAUUACUGGGUGUAAAGGGUGAGUAGGCGGCUUAUCAAGCCACAUGUGAAAUGCCUUGGCUUAACCGAGGAACUGCAUGAGGAACUGAUAGGCUAGAGUACAGGAGAGGUAAGCGGAAUUCCUAGUGUAGCGGUGAAAUGCGUAGAUAUUAGGAAGAACACCAGUGGCGAAGGCGGCUUACUGGACUGGUUACUGACGCUGAGUCACGAAAGCGUGGGGAGCGAACAGGAUUAGAUACCCUGGUAGUCCACGCCGUAAACGAUGAUUGCUAGGUGUUGGGUCGAGAGAUUCGGUGCCGGAGCAAACGCAAUAAGCAAUCCACCUGGGGAGUACGGCCGCAAGGCUGAAACUCAAAGGAAUUGACGGGGGCCCGCACAAGCGGUGGAGCAUGUGGUUUAAUUCGACGCAACGCGAAGAACCUUACCAAGGCUUGACAUGGAAAUGACCACUUCAGAGAUGAGGUUUUCCCUUCGGGGACAUUUCACACAGGUGGUGCAUGGUUGUCGUCAGCUCGUGUCGUGAGAUGUUGGGUUAAGUCCCGCAACGAGCGCAACCCUUACGUCCAGUUGCCAGCGAGUGAAGUUGGGCUACACUGGAGGGACUGCCGUGGACAACACGGAGGAAGGUGGGGAUGAUGUCAAAUCAUCAUGCCCCUUAUGUCUUGGGCUACACACGUGCUACAAUGGGACCUACAGCGUGAUGCGAAGUUGUGAAGCGGAGCGAAACACGAAAAGGUUCCCCAGUUCGGAUUGCAGGCUGCAACCCGCCUGCAUGAAGUUGGAAUCGCUAGUAAUCGCGAAUCAGCAUGUCGCGGUGAAUACGUUCCCGGGCCUUGUACACACCGCCCGUCACACCAUGGGAGUUGGAAGCACCCGAAGCCCGUGACCUAACCGAAAGGGAGGAGCGGUCGAAGUGAAGCCCAGGGAGAGGGG
rnacentral:rRNA from 1 species